rnacentral:rRNA from 1 species
GCUCAACCGAGGAAGUGCUUCGAAAACUGGUAAACUUGAGUGCAGAAGAGGAAAGUGGAACUCCAUGUGUAGCGGUGGAAUGCGUAGAUAUAUGGAAGAACACCAGUGGCGAAGGCGGCUUUCUGGUCUGUAACUGACGCUGAGACUCGAAAGCAUGGGUAGCAAACAGGAUUAGAUACCCUGGUAGUCCAUGCCGUAAACGAUGAGUGCUAAGUGUUGGAGGGUUUCCGCCCUUCAGUGCUGCAGCUAACGCAUUAAGCACUCCGCCUGGGGAGUACGAUCGCAAGAUUGAAACUCAAAGGAAUUGACGGGGGCCCGCACAAGCGGUGGAGCAUGUGGUUUAAUUCGAAGCAACGCGAAGAACCUUACCAGGUCUUGACAUACCAUGAAAAGGGUAGAGAUAAGUCUUUCCCUUCGGGGACAUGGAUACAGGUGGUGCAUGGUUGUCGUCAGCUCGUGUCGUGAGAUGUUGGGUUAAGUCCCGCAACGAGCGCAACCCUUAUUAUCAGUUGCCAGCAUUCAGUUGGGCACUCUGGUGAGACUGCCGGUGAUAAACCGGAGGAAGGUGGGGACGACGUCAAAUCAUCAUGCCCCUUAUGACCUGGGCUACACACGUGCUACAAUGGUCGGUACAACG